CGGGGUGUAGCUCAAAUGGUAGACCGCGCGCUUAGCAUGCGCGAGGUACCGGAAUCGAUACCCGGCACCUCCA
rnacentral:tRNA from 1 species